rnacentral:lncRNA from 1 species
AUCAUGCAUUCAUGUUUCAGCCAACAUAAUCAACACCUUAAACUACUAACAUCAAGCAACGUCGCAUCACAACAACCACCACCACCAUAAUCGCCACCAUCAUAACAGUCACUAUAAUACCAACCAUCACAAUUAUCACCACCAAUAAUAUUAAUCACUAACAUCAAUCAUUGUCACCGCAACCACCAUUAUAAGCCAUCUCCACUAUCACUAACAAACAUAAAUAUUUUUUCUCAAUCAAAUACUAAUAAUUUUAUUGUAUUAAAUUACAUACUUUUUAAUAUAUAAUUAAUUUUUUAUUU